rnacentral:lncRNA from 1 species
GCCAACUGUGUUCCCAUGUAGAACUGCGGCCCAGUGUAGCCAGUACCGAAGAUUUCUCAGAAAAAGCCGGAGAUCUCAAUGCUGGCUUCUUCCCUCAGCCUCGUCCGACCCCAGCCUGGGUUCAAUGAACAUUCGGUAAAGGAACACGGAAUGUCAAGCGCAUUAGAGACAACCUUGAGACACAUUCCUCUUGCGGAACAUCAGUCCUGAAUCCUCAGACCACCAUCUGGAGUAGUAAGUGCUCCUGACAGUCCUAGAAGUUGUCUACCGCUGGAUCUCCAAAGCGUGUGACACACCGUGAGAGAGAAAUGAGAAAGCUGGGCUCUUCAGGUAAAUCUUGCUUUUUCAC